GUGUGUGUGUGUGUGUGUGUCACAGCUGAACAUGGAGGACCCGUGCAUCAUCUGCCACGAGGACAUGAGUGCUGAGGAGAUGUGUGUAUUGGAGUGCCGCCACAGUUUCCACAGAGAGUGUAUAAAGUCGUGGCUGAAGGAGCAGAGCACGUGUCCCACCUGUCGAGAACACGCUCUCCUCCCCGAGGACUUUCCUCUGCUUCCCGGACGACAGCGCAAGACUCACACACCCGCGACUGCCUUCCACUGAACCACCAGUGUGUGUGUUCACGGCUUUAUUCACGGACACACGAGUGUGUGUUCACGGCUUUAUUCACAGACACACCAGUGUGUUCAUCUGUAUUAGCACACAUUCUGUGGACACUUUGCUUUGGGGUGUAGGAGGCUUUGGGGACCAAUCGGUGAUGUUUUAUUUCUAGGACACAGUUGUGUUUCUCAUUCCUGGAAUAAAGUUCAUUUGCAUGAACUGAUUUUACUCUUCCCACUUUUACCUUUUAUUGCUAUUUUACCUUAAUUUUACUUUAUUAAA